ACUGGGGGUCCCGGUCCCGCGAGGUCCUUCGCUGGGGGGUGGGCGGGGGAAGAGUGGGCUCUGCAGGCCGGAGCUAGACAAGCACCCGACGCACCGCUCGGGCUCCCGCGAGGUGGCCCUGGGCAUCCCCUUUCUGCCACCGCCGCGGCGCCGGCUGCUUUCUGCGUAGCUGGGCAGGCCCCGGGCCCCCACACCGCCUCUCCCGGGAAUGCGGGCGCUCUGGAGCCGAGGAGCGGGGGCGUCCGCAAGGAGAUCAGCUCUCCGGGGCGGAGGUCCUCCGGCGCAGCGCCCUCGCCUGGAAACCAGCCGUCGCCCCCGCAGGAGCCAGCCGGCCCGUGGACGCCCCAGCGCGCUCCUUCUCGGUGCUGCCGGUCGUCCUGCAGUUCCGCGAGGAAGGAAAGCGGAUUUGGAGGAACAGGUUUCGUGACUGUCAUCAGACUGGAAAAGGCCCCGCGAGCUGGAAGGGAGGGGACGAGGGCACCCUCAGAGUUACUGCUGGAGGCUGUGGCCAGGCCGGGCAAGCCUUUGCCAAGUGUCACUGCUCCGCAUAAGGGAAAAUCAGAGGAACAAGCAAGUGCAUCCAUCCUGCCUCUCUCCCCAGUGAACUGAUAAACCCAUCAGUCUUGUCCGUGGUGCACCUGUUACAUCCCCGGGCGAUGUUGGAGACUGUGGGGAACAGCGGCCACCGCCAAAUACUCAGCGACUGCCCUGUGCCUGGUGGGAUGGUGAGGAUUUGCCUGAGCCUGAAGGAUCCUCCCAGCACUGUCAAGCCCCAGAUUCCACCUCCCUGUGGGUGGACUGUCAGCGCAGGCCCUGACAACACAGAGAAAGACACAGGACCCAGCUGGGCCAGUGACAGCAGUAGCUCCUGGUGCCACAGAAAAAGUUGCUUCAGUCCCUGGCUCACUUGGUUCUGGCAUCCUCUCCCACUUCUCCAGCCCAUCCUGGCAGACACUAUUAGAAGUAAAAGCCACGUGCCCUCAAGAGGGCAAGGCAAGGCAUCUUCAGAUGUCUCUGCCCUUAAAGCACACGCGUUCUGCUCUGCGACGAAGCAGGACAAGGAUAGGGACCUGCACCUCCGGAGGCCCGCACCUACGAAGAUAGCGGGCUCCGGACCUUCGGUGGACCCGCAGGCCUCCAGAGGCCCGCGCGCCGCUGCCCCGCCCCCAUUGCAGAGCCUGCCAGGUAAGCGGCCCCAGCGCCGUGCCCGCGCGACCUUCGGGGAGGGUCGCGCUCACGUCUCAAGUGGGAGCAAUGCACCGGGACAGGGACACCUCCUAGGUCAUGCCUGUUCCAGUCCAGUUCUCCCUGAAAGUCCGGCUGGCUCAUUACCUGCUUAAAUAAAACCAUAUACGUGCAAACUCUCCCCGCUGGCAGCGCGCCCCAGGACCGGAAGUGACGCGUUACGUGCCCGCGUAUUCCUACCGGCGUAUUCCCGGCCUGCUUUUCGCUUGCCGUUCCGUGGCGGGAACUGAGGCGACUGUGGGGACGGCGGUGAUCGUAAGUCUCCUGGGCCCGUUAUUCUCAGAUUAGGGAACGGAACUAAGACUUUGAGACCAUCUUGUCCUUUUUGUAUCCCGGAAACCUCAGGAACUAGCCGGCGGCGGUGACCUGCACGAGAAGCCAGGCUGACUGGUAACCGGCUGGAGGAAUUGCAAGCCCGCUUCGCCUUCCCCACUCCUGCCCUUGAUGCCCCUGUGAGGUCUUCCACGUCCUUCGGGGCCCCAACCUAGCCGCGCUUUCAUGCCCUGGCCGCGCCCUCUGGUGAAAUGGUGGUUCCGGACAGCAUCCUGCAGACCCCGGCUUUGGGCUGUAUUCGUGUUUAACAGCCCGAGGCAGGGAUGGACUAAUCCAAUAACGUUAUGAAAACCUUGGCUGCCAAUAGAUAUUAACAAUUUAUUUUAUUUUAUUGAGUAUAUCCCCAUAUGCCAAGCAAGGAACUAUGUAUUUGCAUACAUUCUUUUAUUUAACUCAGUUGUCCUAUGGAAUAGGCCUUAGCUCCUUUAACAGAAAAGGAAACCGGGUGUCAUAGAUGGUAAUUCAUGCACUAAAUAUUAUGGGCCAUCUACCAUGUACCAGGCACUGUUCUCGGCACCAGGGCUUGUAGCAAUGAAAAAAAAUAGAAUUAACUGGGGAUUUUUCAGGCAAGCUAAUGAUGCUUUUUAUCCCUGAAAACACCCUGGAAGAAUGUUUACCUGCAUGUUAGAAAUAGUUACCUUCUGGGUGGGAUUUUGUAUUACUUUUUAAAAUCCCUCAUGCUUUUCUGCAUUGUUUUGAUUUCUUCAAGUGAGUGUGUUAUGAGAAAAACAGCUGUUUCUAUUUUAACAACAGAGUCCCCCACCUUCCUUUCCCCACAGAAAGUCUCUGAAGGUAGGUGGGCAUUGACUCUGCCAUUAAAAUAGGUCCCUGGCCAGGCGUGAUGGCUCACACCUGUAAUCCCAGCACUUUGGGAGGCCGGGGCAAGAGGAUUACUUGAGCCCAGGAGUUCCAGACCAGCCUGGGCAACAUGGUGAAACCCUGUCUCUACCAAAAAUUAAAAAAAUUAGCUGGGGAUGGUGGCGCGCACCUGUUGUCCUAGCUACUGGGGAGGCUGAAAUGGGAAGAUCACAGGAGCCUGGGAUGUCCAGGCUGCAGUGAGCCAUGAUUGUGACACUGCACUCCAUCCUGGGCAAAACAGUGAGACCCUGUCUCAAAGAAAACAACAACCAAUAAAGGUCUUUGAGUGAGUUCUGACAAAGAAAGGAGUGAAGGUUCUCAUUUGUGAUGCAAGCACAGCACCUUUAAUUGCUGCAGAGUCCAUUUCAGGGUCUGAGCUAAAGCUAGGCCCAUGACUGUGAAAGAAACCAUGGAGGCCCAUGUGGUUUGGUCAUUAGCGACAUAUUUAUCAAUGCAUUUGGAACUCAUUAAACAUUUUUGUGACAUAUGAUCUUUGUUCUAUAACUCCUGCACUAUAAAUAGAUUCUAAGUUCCUUAAGGACUUUGACCACUUUUCUGUCCCUCGUAAGCCCUCCAGUAGCAAGUGGCAUUCAAGAUUGUCCUAGGUCAUAGGGGUGAUUGUCC
ensembl:lincRNA